AAGCAAAUUUGGAAAGUCAGCAAGUGGAUCCGUAACUUUGGGAAAAGAAUUGCCCAUGAGGGCUAGGUGCUCAUUGCAUCCGUCAGCUUCCUUUGUGCAACGGUGCUGCGAAGGCUUGUUCCUGCCACGAGGCGUGUUGUGCGAACUGCCGUCACUGACUUAGGUGCAACCGUUGGUCUUAGUGCGCAUUGAGCAGCUGACAAGAACUAAGGUGUGGCGGAUAAGGAUCCACGUCUUUUCUUUGUAAGGCAUUGCCAUAGCCGCAAAGGGCGUUGAAAGAAUGUGAAGCGUGCCCACCGCGCUGAAGGUCAAUUUUGACAAAAUUCAAUUCAAGCACGGGUAAUAGCGACCCACAUAUUAUUUUCGCUCUCAAAGGUUGCUUAGUGUCUCAUCGAUUAGUUAGUGGCAUGCAUGAAUAGAUCAAAGCUAUCCAGCGAAGCCAGAGCCAAAGGAACAGGCUCGGCGGUUUCAGCAGGGAAAAUUAACCGUGGUGAGGUGAGGGAUUGUUGUCGAAAUUCGUGGAACGACAGAGGAGAUUAUGCAUUUGCGUUAGCGUCGGGGUUCGUGAAAUAACACUGCCAGGGGUGUCUUCCGCAAGCUUCAGCGCCGAGUGUAGUCAAGCGAUGGAUUUGGCUUGGGUGACACAUCUGGAAAAAAAUCCAGGUGUCCAGAAGACAAGCUCAACAACAGCAAAGAUCUACUGUUAACCCGAAGAGGAAAAGGCGUCUUGGUUUUGAUUUCCGACACGAAUCCAAAUUGUGAAAUCACGGCUAAUGGAUCCUUUAAAUGUUAAAAACUUGCAGCUGCGGGUGUCGGAAGAGUUGCCAGAAGGACAACUGGCUGGCGGCAGCCAUUCUUUUACAGCCAUGUUGUUUUCGAAUCUUUGAUGUCGCCUUAUCCUAUAUUUGGAACGCGGAAGUCUUAUAUUGUUUCUCCCCAACAACAGGGGCUGUAAAUUGGAUUAAGGCUACUUCCCAAGAGAAAAGAAUAUGGCCAGUUUAAGCCUAUUGCUGCAUCGCUAGCUGCUGCAGUGAUCUGACUUGGAACGAAAUACGUACUCUAAUUCCUUGAUUGCGUGCCUAGCUGGAAGGCCUGUGCCGCGAAGUUACUGGUUGCUGGACUCUUUACUGAAAACCUCUUGGUCAGAAUUCCGGCAAGCCUAACGAUGGAGCUGAUCGUCUUACAGCGACUUGGAGCUCCGUAUAUUGGCGACAGGCAAUACUUCUCAGCAACGCACCAGGCUCCACCCUUUAGGAGAGAACUGGAGUUUCCCACAUCUAAGGCGCUAUAGCCAUCGCAAACACCUUUGGCGCAGCCGGAUGCUGUGAGUGUGAAAGUAGGACUGUGCCACAAACUUCUUAACUUCACCGUGCGUCGACCGAUGC
rnacentral:ncRNA from 1 species